UACGAGGGGAGCUAGCGUGGUUCGGAAUUACUGGGCGUAAAGGGCGUGUAGGCGGUACCAUAAGUCAGAUGUGAAAGCCCUAGGCUUAACCUAGGAGGUGCAUUUGAUACUGUGGAACUAGAGAUCGAGAGAGGUAAGUGGAAUUACGAGUGUAGAGGUGAAAUUCGUAGAUAUUCGUAAGAACACCAGUGGCGAAGGCGGCUCACUGGUCCAUUACUGACGCUGAGGUGCGAAAGCGUGGGGAGCAAACAGG
rnacentral:rRNA from 1 species